CACCUCAGGGUCACGCCUGGAGAGUUUCCAGUAUUCUACCAGUCUCAGCUACGGGAGGGAAGGUCAAGCAAAGGCAGACCCAUUCCAUUCCUAGCUUGGCCAGUGGCUAGUGAGUGGAAGACAAUCUGCUACAAGU